GGUGGCUCAGUAGUAGAGUGCUUGCUUUUAAUGCAUGAGGCCCUGGGUUCGAUUCCUAAGCACCA
rnacentral:tRNA from 1 species